rnacentral:rRNA from 1 species
UACAGAGGUCCCAAGCGUUGUUCGGAUUCACUGGGCGUAAAGGGUGCGUAGGCGGUCAGGUAAGUUUGUUGUGAAAUCUCCGGGCUUAACCCGGAAAAUGCAAUGAAAACUGCUUGGCUAGAGGAUUGUAGGGGGGACUGGAAUUCUCGGUGUAGCAGUGAAAUGCGUAGAUAUCGAGAGGAACACCAGUGGCGAAGGCGAGUCCCUGGACAAAUCCUGACGCUGAUGCACGAAAGCUGGGGGAGCAAACAGG